AAUGUGCGAAAGAGUUAGAGAGAACGAAAGAGAGAGAGAGAGAGAGAGAGAGAGAGAGUGAGAGUGUGAUUACAUAGAGCGUGAUUACAUAGAGGAUUUAAUGCGGCUGUGUGCUGAAGCGUGCGUGCGCAAGACGUUCGUCGGGAGAGGAACGAAGAGGAUGAGGAACGGUUCGACGCGACGGGACUCGCGAACGCGAACUUUCCGACCGACUGACAGAGUGACAGAGAGCCGCGUGUAACCUAAACAAUCUGCAACCGGAAGACAGCAGAACGCGGAACCCCGAUUCCGAUGGCGCUAGGCGUCACCCUUCGACCUUUCGAAGCAUUCUUCACCUGUGUGUUGACCUGAGACGUGAAAUAUGGAAGAAAAUUAUCUAUAAGAGAAGAGAGGUCACACAGAGCUCGUUCCGGAAGGGGAGAGAAAACAAAAAAGAAAGAGAGAGAGAGCGAGAGAGAAAUAUAAUGAAAAUGUCGAACGAUCACGCCAUGCGCCCACAUCUGGAAAACAGUGAAAGAGCCACAGAGAUACAGUUACACACGAUACAGAUAUACGUAUACUCGCGUGCAAUGUGACGUGCGUGAAAUGACACACAUACACACACACACACACACAAACUCCCCGAACCAUUUUACCUAGCGAUCUAUACACACGUAACCGUCUACGUUUAAUAACCACACGGAACGCCCCGCCUGACUGCGUGGCGUGCUGCUGACACUUACCGAUCGUAUAUAUAUUAUAUAUGUAUACAUACAUAUAUAUAUAUAUAUAUAUAUAUAUAUAUAUAUAUACUUACACACAAAGAGGCAUACAGGAUACACACAGAGACAUCAUGGCGAGCAUCGGGCGUCCGUGCGUGUGACGCUGGAGGAGGGCGGGGUGUGCGGACACUUAAUAAUCGCGCACCACUUUCACCAUAACACACGUAUACACACAGAUAAUUACCAACGUGUAAUAAUUUAUUUUUUCACUGGUAUAGUCGGAGAAUUGAUAUUGAAAUAUAUCUGUAGAGCCUAUGUAUUAUAUUCAAAAUGUGCACUCACUUCGCGGGUUGUCGCGAGACGGUAUAGGGACCUGCCUGUGUCACGCUCCGUCGUGAUCGUCGACGAACGUAACAACCCGUUCGUAGUCGCAUGUACCAAGCAUUCCUCCCCCUCCCCCUCCUUCUCCCUCGUUCGUUCCUCUUGUUUCGGCGCGUUCGAUCCGAACGCCGGAAGCACGAAAGAGGAAGAACGGCUGCGAGGGGGAGGAGGAGGAUGGACGUGGGAGGGAAAGAAAACACGAGGAGGAGAGGAGGAAGCCGUUGAAUUGUCGGGUGAGAAAGAAACAACGGCUGCCGACAACGGGGAUUGUUCCGACACUUCUCGACCUCGGGACGGCGGAUCGGUGGUCGGCCGGUUCCGAUACCGUUCGGAGAACUCGUCCUCGGUACGAUUUUACAUUUUAUUUUUAUAAUAAAUGCAGUAGAACGUAGGAGAUGAAAAAAAAAAAAUAAGAAAGGAAAGAGAAGAAAUACUGGCGGAAGAAAGAGCGGUGGUGAGAAAGAAGGAGGGGGGGAAAAAAAGAAGAGAUAGAGAGUGGCGGCGUGUUCGCACGAACGGGAAUAUGGCCGCGUUGCGUCGCUGCCCCGCCGCUCGUCUCGCCCGUACCCGCCGCUUCCGGUCCCGGAGUUUAAUCUCUGUCCGCAGCGUAUUCCCUUUCGACGUGACGUCCUCACCCCUCCUCCCCUCCCACUCCCCCUCCCCCCCCUAAUUCUACGCACGCGUGACGUCGUCGCCGAGAUUCCAGAAGAGGGAGCAGUUCAUCGCGAUCGUGAUCGUGAUCACGACGUCAGUCUGAACGCGAACUUUCCUAAUUUCACCGCUGCGAAGAGCUUCCGGCAUUUCUUCGAUUCUCUAUUCGUUAUACGCGAUGUAUAAUCGAUCGAUCGUACACGGGCGCGCCACCCGGGGGGCCAAACGGUUGUUCGAACUUCCGUCGACGAUGUCGCAAGAACGGGGACAAAGGGCACGUCGAGGAGGGGAGGAGGCGGCAAAGCGGUGGGGGUUGAAGAGGGUUGGAGCAGCGAGCGAGCAGCCGCGUUCGCGUUCGCGAGAUUAAUUAGGUGAUUACGUUGUUAAAGGCCACUGUUACUGUCCUCGACGGCCGCGCCACGACCGUGCUCGUGACCCCGAAUACGAACACUUGCCGGGCUCUGUGCAAACGCGAGCGAUCGCGACGAAAGAAGUUUCUGAAAGAGAGAGAGAGAGAGAGAGAGAGAGGGUUUUGCAGACUUUUUGGAAAAACAGACGCGAAGGAGUUUGAGCAAGUUUAGCUAGAUCGUUUUGCACGUACGUUUUUUAGUUGACUUGAAUAAUAAAUGAAUGAAUAAACGUUUAUUAAUUAGGUUUCUCGAGAAAUCCAGGGCAGAGGAAAACAGAUUGCAAUUGAUAUGUCAUGCUUACUUGACGACGACUUGACGACAUCUGCCGAAAUGUCUAAAAAUGUACAGUACGGGGGAAAUUGAUCGUUUCGAUUGAAUAUUUCGCACCUGUCCACCUUUACGAAUCACCUGAGGUGAAUCUGAAAACGUACGAGAUUGAUUGUUUCAUUUAGGACGGAUCAACGACGAGCCAUUUUCACCAAACAGUCUGAGAUAUCUAAAAACGUCCAGUAAAAGACUCAAGUCGAUUGCUCGAUUCAAAUUCAAACACGUCUAACACGCCGCUAGAACGGUAUUAUCGAUUCGAGGCGAAUCUUUCUAUUUUUAUAAAAUACGUCGGCGACGUCCAAAAAAAAAAAAAAAAAAAACGUACGGUACAAGUUGAUUAUUCCAUUUGACUCCCCCUUAGCGCUUGAAGUCGUCAGAGACCUGAAAUAGGCCAUGAGCAACUUUCAACGUAUAUUUCUUCGACAAGAUAAAAGAGUAAAACAAAAUUAUUUCGUCGUUCGUUGCAUCACGAAUACUAAACGUUCAACGAGAUCGAAACGAACAAACUUGCUCUGUGUCGUGUACAAGACGAGUCUGAUCGUAAGGCUAGAAAAAGAGAAAGUCCAAGAACUCUGCAAGAGCCCGAGGGCCUCACGAGCUGAAUGCAACGACAGCCUGACGAAUCCGCGUAAGAUCGAUAUCGGUCACGGUCAGUCUCACGUCCGUCGAGCAACGUUGACAAACGAUGAAAACGAUGACAGCAACGAUGGCGGAGGUGCCGCGAGCCGCGGGCCGGGCACUAGGUGCUAAAAGUAUUAAAAAAAAAAAAAAAAAAAGUGUUUAAUCUUGUCGUCGUGGAACAAACGUACGGAAUACGCGCGGCCGGAGAUUGUCGACUUGCUCGUCUCGUCCUUGUUUGUUGCGUCGUUUGAAAGUGGGUUUUGAAGGAGGAGGUUCGCGUUCGCGGUCGAUCCCGGCGGUCGGUCCCGGCCGUGUCUUCUCUUAGGACUCUUAGCUUCUCUUAACGAGAACGUUUAGCGAUGAAUCUUCGUAUCGUGUAAGUGUGUAACAAGUGUAGUAUCAUUUCUAGACAUUUCGUGACUUUUCGCCGUUCUUUCGUACGGAUUUUUAUAUAGCCAGUUUUGUAUGAUCGACGCAUCGGGCCAGCAGCUUCCUGUACUGCGCGUCUCCGUUCCGUCUAAAACCACCGCGAAAACGAUCGACCGACCUCGAACGCGCGGUUCCGUGUCUUCGUUUCGAAAGGAAUUCCUUGACGAAUCGUUCUCUCGAAGGAUCGUGAUUCCCUCGCUAGGGGAGGCAUUGCUCUCUUCCUGGUAGCACGUCGAACCUUCGAAAGAUCAGCGAGAGAUUGGCGACGAGCCAACCUCGAAGCCUCGCGUUAGAAAUAAUUGGAAAACUACUUAGAACCGGAAUCAUGAUUCACACUAAGAAAAGGAAUUCCUUGCUAAAUAGUAAAUUUUAUCAAACAAAGAGAGAGAUCGUUUCUGAUUCGGAAAAACCGGCGAUCGAAGGGAGAGAGAUUCGACGAAGCGAGUCGGCAGUUCUCCGAGCGCGCCAGGGGUGCUAAAAAAAAGAAAAAAAAGAAAAAAGAGAAACACGUUUUUAAAUCGCGGAACUAAUAAGGGUAAAAAUGGGGGCGAGCAAGCUCGAGGGAACAGAGGCGCGAGGGGACAAGGCGAGGAGAUCAGUACCCUUUAGUAAUAUCUAAACUUAAUUGUAACUAUUAACGAUACGUACGACUGUGGUAGCUAUGCUAGUACCUGCUAUUGUUAAAGAAACAGAGAGAGAGAGAGAGAGAGAAAUCGAUUGAAAGAGUGGACAAAAAAGGAAGAAAGACAGAGAGAGAGAGAAAGAGAGAGAAAGAAACGUGAAAGAUCGCGAUUUUUAAGGUUUAGGUUCGUUGCGGAAGACGAACGUCAUCCUGGCAUCUAGAUUUAACAAUAAAUCUAAUUACGGUAGAGACUCUCGCGUAGAAACUAACAGGGAGGCAAAAGUUAAUUAGGAUAAAUAUAAUGAAACGAUUAUUUCUUUGCUGUUUCAAACGAAGAUUAAUGCGUUUAAAUUUGGUAACCAAGAAAUGGUUUAUUCUAGUAAAUUUGACCAUUUUAAACAUUUCUUUUUUUUUUUUUGGUAUAUAUAGAAAUUGAAAUUACUCCAAAAAUUAUUUCAUUGGACUAUGAAUAUGAGUACAUACAUGAUAUAAUAAUUGUAAUAUUUUGAAUUUGCUAAGAAAAUUAUAAUUUUCACUUAUCAUCUAACAUUCUCUGUAAAGUUGUAUUCUUUUCUUUUUAAUGCCUCGAAUGUUAAAACACGUCAUUCUCAUCUGUUUCUGUUCGUCCAAAUUUUUAAGAAAAAUAAUAAUUAAACGAUAAAAUAAAUCGCUUUUGCAAUACGUCAGACACGUAUAUUGAUCAAUUUCAUAAAUUAGAAAAGCGUAGAAAAAUGGUUUUUCUUUUCUACUAUUAGACUUAUCUACUACUGUACGAUACUCGAUACAAUUUCCUUUCGAUGACUAAAUUUAUGAAUGUCGUUCAAAGAUUGAACAAUCAAAGAACAAAUUAAUGAAAAAAAUUAAGUCAACGUCACGGUGUUUGGACAAUGGAGAGACUCUACUGUAGCUCGUUCGGAUCGUUAGUUUCCCGCAAAGGAGGGAUGAAAAUAACAACCCUGACAGAGCAUCGAGGAUCGACGAUCUAGGCUCGAGACGCGGAGAGCUCCUCGCGGCGAUUAUUUUUCUAAUCUUUGUAACCGAACGAAACUGAGUUCGCGGCGAAACACCGCGAGUGAAGUAUCCUCGACUCGACCGGAAGGAGGUCCUCACAGAGAGAUGGCGAGGCGAUCUCGGCCGCGCUUUGGUCGUCGAUCUCGGCGUCUCGAGACGUGUCGCGUGAUCCUUCCUCGACGAUUGAAGGAAGAGACACAAAAAAGAAAAAAGAAAGAAAGAAAAGAAAGAAAGAAGGAAGGAAAAAGUCGAGGAAGAAGAGUCGGCGUGAGGGGGAAGGGAAAGGCGUUGGAGGAAGCAAGCGUUGCAAUAAGUUGCGAAUCAAAUGUGGAUCUCGGUUUGAGACGAGAGGCUCAGCUCAGCGAAGAAUCAAACACACGUACACGAUGUAUACUCUUCUAGUAAAACCAAAAAAAAAAAAAAGAAAAAGGGAAAAAAAAACGAGAGAAAAAUCGGAAGGCGCAGCGAGCGAGAGAGAUGUUGAAUCGAAUCGAAAUGGAAGAGGGUUGGAAACGGAGGAGGUGAAGGGACGAAGCGAUUGAUAUAGAGCAUACAUUGAGAUACACACAAAAA